rnacentral:lncRNA from 1 species
UAGCAAACAAAAACCAUCUAAUGAAACCCAGACGUUCAAACAUAAUAAAAUCCCAAGAUUAACAAAACCAAACAUAAAAUUGGAAAGAAAAACAAGACGAAGAAAAUAUAUAACUGAGUCGUAAACGAAGCCGGUGCGGACAUGAAUGGUGAGGAUCUUCGAGCCAUAGAGGAGAUAAGAUGAUUCGUUUUGUUUCCUUUUUUUUCUGUUCAAACAUGAUAUAACUUAAUGACCUGAUCAAUGCUGGCACGACAUAUAGGACAUUUCUUGUUUUUGAUCUCUUUCAAGCAAGAAACGCAUCCAGCAACAUGUCCGCAUGGCACACAUGCUGCUUCCGAUGACGCAUCCUCACAAAUCACACGCACUCCAGAUCCUCCUCUACUUCCUUUACUCUCAUAGUCUGCAC